AUCUGGCUUUCCUCCAUAAUUUUGCUUGCUGGGAAGAUUAUAAAUGAUGAUCAACAUGACCCCAGGACACUGCAACGAUCAUAAAUACAUGCUAGUUGCCAAGCACUCAAAUUUUGAUGAUGUGACCAUGUGUGGAUGCUGCAACGGUUCUAAGU